AUUUCAAUUUGAGAUGCUUGUUUACAUGUGUAUUUAUUGUCCUUUCGUUUUUUAAUCUCAAAACUUUAAUUUACAACAAAAAGGCAGUAAGUGCUGGUUUAUUCACAAUUUUGUCAUAAUUUCUUUUAAUUUUAUUUUCUGGUCAAAAAUUUUAUUUGCAACAUGACAGGAAAGAAAUGCUGCAUACAGAAGAGCUCUAUCAGAAGGAGAGGUGGUGAAUGUUGCUUAUUCACGUGUUCUUUUUCUGGGUACAGCAGGUGUUGGGAAGAGUAGUUUCAAGAAUUCUCUUAUGAAGUUACCAUGGGAUGCUAAGGCUAACAGUACCAUCAUAUCUGAUGUCAGCUGUGUUCGUCCCUUUGCUAAGGGAUUGCUUAGUGAUCAG